ACGCUCGACACCUACGGGAGACAGCAGUGGGGAAUAUUGCACAAUGGGGGAAACCCUGAUGCAGCGACGCCGCGUGAAGGAAGAAGUAUCUCGGUAUGUAAACUUCUAUCAGCAGGGAAGAAAAUGACGGUAUCUGACUAAGGAGCCCCGGCUAACUACGUGCCAACAGCCGCGGUAAUCUGAGCGGGCUGGCAAGGC
rnacentral:rRNA from 1 species